rnacentral:rRNA from 1 species
GACGUAGGGGGCGAGCGUUGUCCGGAUUUAUUGGGCGUAAAGCGUGCGUAGGCGGCUGCGCAAGUCGGGUGUGAAACCCCGGGGCUCAACCCCGGAACUGCAUCCGAUACUGCGUGGCUAGAGGUAGGUAGGGGAGAUCGGAAUUCCUGGUGUAGCGGUGAAAUGCGCAGAUAUCUGGAGGAACACCGGUGGCGAAGGCGGCGUUCUGGACUGUUUCUGACACUGUAAAACGAAAGCCAGGGGAGCAAACGGG